rnacentral:rRNA from 1 species
GACGAACGCUGGCGGCGUGCCUAAUACAUGCAAGUCGAACGCAGUGGGGACGGGUGAGUAACACGUGGGUCACCUCCCAUCAGAGGGGAUACCCAUUGGAAACAUGUGCUAAACCGCUCCUGAUGGAUGGACCCUCGGUGCAUGAGCUAGUUGGUGAGGUAACGGCUCACAAAGGCCACGAUGCAUAGCCGACCUGAGAGGUUGAUGGGGCACACGGGGACUGAGACACGGCGCAGACUCCUACGGGAAGCAGCAGUAGGUAACCUUGGGCAAUGGGCGAAAUGCUUACCGAUCAACGCCGCGUGAGUGAAGAAGGUUUUCGGAUCGUACAACUCUGUUGUUAGAGAAGCGGUAUCUAACCAGAAAGCCACGGCUAACUACGUGCUAGCAGCCGCGGUAAUAC